rnacentral:rRNA from 1 species
CCUGUAGCGUGUUGUGUAAUUUUUCGGUUAAAUCCACGCGCUUAACUCAUGGGCUGCCGGGAAUACUGCAUAACUAGGAAGUGGGAGAGGUAGACGGUACUCGGUAGGAAGGGGUAAAAUCCUUUGAUCUAUUGAUGACCACCUGUGGCGAANGCGGUCUACCANAACACGUUCGACGGUGAGGAAUUGGCGGGGGAGCACAA